UACGUAGGGGGCAAGCGUUGUCCGGAAUCAUUGGGCGUAAAGCGCGUGUAGGCGGCCCGGUAAGUCCGCUGUGAAGGCCCGGGGCUCAACCUCGGGAGGCGGGUGGAUACUGGCAAGCUCGAGUCCGGAAGAGGCGAGUGGAAUUCCUGGUGUAGCGGUGAAAUGCGCAGAUAUCAGGAGGAACACCAAUGGCGAAGGCAGCUCGCUGGGACGUGACUGACGCUGAGACGCGAAAGCGUGGGGAGCAAACAGG
rnacentral:rRNA from 1 species